GGCAUAGCUCAGUGGUAGAGUGCAUGCUUAGCAUGCACGAGGUCCUGGAUUCAAUCCCCAGUACUGCUA
rnacentral:tRNA from 1 species